rnacentral:rRNA from 1 species
GCAAGUCGAGGGGUAACAUUGUAGCUUGCUACAGAUGACGACCGGCGCACGGGUGAGUAACGCGUAUAGAACCUACCUUUUACAGGGGAAUAGCCCAGAGAAAUUUGGAUUAAUGCCCCAUAGUAUUAUUGAAUGGCAUCAUUUAGUAAUUAAACAUUUAUGGGUAAAAGAUGGCUAUGCGUUCUAUUAGCUAGAUGGUAAGGUAACGGCUUACCAUGGCUACGAUAGAUAGGGGGUCUGAGAGGAUUAUC